GACGAACGCUGGCGGCGUGCUUAACACAUGCAAGUCGAACGGAGAGGCCCUGCUUUUGUGGGGUGCUCGAGUGGCGAACGGGUGAGUAACACGUGAGUAACCUGCCCUUGACUUUGGGAUAACUUCAGGAAACUGGGGCUAAUACCGGAUAGGAGCUCCUGCUGCAUGGUGGGGGUUGGAAAGUUUCGGCGGUUGGGGAUGGACUCGCGGCUUAUCAGCUUGUUGGUGGGGUAGUGGCUUACCAAGGCUUUGACGGGUAGCCGGCCUGAGAGGGUGACCGGCCACAUUGGGACUGAGAUACGGCCCAGACUCCUACGGGAGGCAGCAGUGGGGAAUAUUGCACAAUGGGCGGAAGCCGGAUGCAGCAACGCCGCGUGCGGGAUGACGGCCUUCGGGUUGUAAACCGCUUUCGCCUGUGACGAAGCGUGAGUGACGGUAAUGGGUAAAGAAGCACCGGCUAACUACGU
rnacentral:rRNA from 1 species